rnacentral:tRNA from 1 species
GUACCUGUAGCUCAGUUGGAUAGAGCGUCAGACUCCGACUCUGAAGGCCGUAGGUUCGAAUCCUAUCAGGUACGCCA